GCCUUCUUAGCUCAGCUGGUAGAGCAACUGACUUGUAAUCAGUAGGUCAUUGGUUCGAUUCUGAUAGAAGGCU
rnacentral:tRNA from 1 species